rnacentral:rRNA from 1 species
UACGUAGGGUGCAAGCGUUAAUCGGAAUACUGGGCGUAAAGCGUGCGCAGGCGGUUUUGUAAGUCUGUCGUGAAAUCCCCGGGCCUAACCUGGGAACUGCAUUUGUGACUGCAUGGCUAGAGUUUGUCAGAGGGGGGGUGGAAUUCCACGUGUAGCAGUGAAAUGCGUAGAUAUGUGGAGGAACACCGAUGGCGAAGGCAGCCCCCUGGGAUGUGACUGACGCUCAUGUACGAAAGCGUGGGGAGCAAACAGG